CCAAGCUUAAAAAAGGAUAAUCUCAAUAUAUAUCAAUGUAAUAAUCUUUAGAAUGUGAAUGUAUCAAUAUUUUCUUCUCUGGAUGUUCAAUCUGCCCUUUUAGAAAUGAUACUCACUCUUAAUAUAGUGAAAAAAUCUUGCUUUGGAUAUAAUAAAAAAAUACAUAGUGGAGAUCUCAUGAUAGAUUAAUUAAUUAACUUUUCCUUGAUUCCCGCCGAGAUUCUCUCCCUAAGUGCGGCUACAAUGGCUCUUUGUCUCAUAGCUCGAUCUUGGUUGGUCUUGGUACUGAUCGAUAUCGGAUCUCGAGCUCAAUAUCGACUCGAGCUCGAUAUUGACUCGGGCUCGGUAUUGACUCGGGCUCGAUAUUGACCCGGGCUCGGUAUUGACUCGAACUCGAUAUCGAUUCGGGCUCGGUAUUGACUCGAGCUCGAUAUUGACUUUGAGCUCGGUAUUGAUCGGUCCCUGAAUCUUGAAUUUGAUAUCCUGGUGUCGGAUCUCAUCUCGAUAUUAUGAAGACGACCCUUGGUCCAUCAUGUUCCAAUCUUGACUAAUUACACGAAGGGCAAAACCGAUUUUGACCGUAAACACUCAUGUAAACUCACAUACAUAAGAUAUGCUUCACCAGGAAGCAACAUUGACUUAGCAAGUUUAGUCUAUAAAAUAAAAGAGAGAAACACAGAUAAAUCAAAACAAUAGAUGACACGCCAUAGCUAUUGAGAUGCAGGUUUCAUUACUACUGCCUAAGGAAAACAAAACAAAAUGCGAUUCAUCAUCGCGAACAUUAAUCCCAAAUAGAAAAAAACAGAAAAAUAGUAUGUUUGACCUGCUGAAUGCACAUCCUUACCAAAGAUGGAGUGCAAGCAAACAAUAGCUUUACGAAAAGCAGUUCAACUUUUGAAUUCUCAAACGAAUAGAUGUUCACAUACUCAGAGCUUGUUGAGAAGUCGCUCCAAACAGGCCGGGGUGUCGAGAUAUUUCAAAACCGUUUCAGUACUGUCGCUGCUAUGAUCGACCUAAUGGUACAAAGAAAUACCAAGACAUUUUAGCUUCUCAAGUUAACAAAGAUGAAGAGCGAAAAUGAACCAAACCAUACAUAUAUUUACUGCUAGUAAAUUUGUCGUUAUAAAAGGAAAAAAGUUGCAAUAUGAUUCUUUUUGUAAAUUUAAUUAGUUAGGGUAGAAUAGAUUAUUUUUCUCAUAUGUAUAUGCAAGCAUUUAUAAAUAUCAUAUCCAAUUAGCUCUAAAACUCUCCAUAUCAUCAAUUUAAAAGCUAAUUUUGUUUAAAUCCUAAAAAAUAAUUAUUGUUUGUAGUUGAUUAAGAACUUCACUAAUUCCUAAAACCAACCAUACAUUCAGACUUGGAAUAUGGCAGUUAAUAGAAACUAUCCACCACCAAGAAUAUCUUCUUCUUUAGACUGUAAAAAAAGCAGUCAAGAUUAAUUUCAUUAAACCCUCAAAUAAAAAAAUGACAUUCAUCAUGUCAAUGAAGAUUGACAUUAUAGUUUUGACCCAAUUAAUUCCUACAACAUGAUGAACUUAUGCUCGUAUAGGUUUUGGUAAGUAGUUUUUCACCCCUUCCCAAAUCUAAUUGUUGCUUUCAAAAUUCAUUUGUCUUGUGUAACAUCAUAGACAAUUUUGUAUGUAUAACUCAACUGAACUUUAGUAUUACAAAAGGUAGCACAAUUUUUAGUUUUUAUGUACCUUUAUAAUAUUUUUUGUAUUUUCUAAUCCUUUUCGCACUUCCUUAUAUUAGAUAGCUAAUUCUGAUCCAGUAAAAUAUGUCACGGCAUCUUUACUAAUUCGUUAUUAUGCACUAUGAGUAAACAAAAUAUAUUAGAAUCAAUAGUCAAUGCCAAGAAUAUAACUUUUUCUUUUUUUGGUGAGUAGAAACUUUUAUUAAUUACCAAGUAAAAUUUUAACAAAAGCAACAUGAAAAUAACUUUAGUAAGCAUAAUAAGUUUCUUUCGUGUUUAAUGCUAAAAAUUAAUUUAUCUAAGCAUAGACAAUUACCUUUUGUAUAUGAGUUCCAGACAAGCUUGGUGUUUCAUAAACAUUCUUAUAUAAAUAUUAAAAAUACUAAGUAACAUCGCAUAAAUACUCAUUGAUAAAAGUUCCGAGAAGGUCACACAUGGAGCAGAAAAUGCAAAAUCUAGCAAAUAAGAACAAAAAGGAAGUCAGUGUGCAGCCAAAAGAAUUCAUAAGAGGGUCUUCAUGAGUUUACCGGUUGACUCAACAAUUAUUCUUUGAUUUUACAGCUUUGUUGACAAAAUAAUAACAUGGAAGAUGCUGCUACUAUGAUAAUCUCAUGGAUUUGUUGUUUGGCUUUUAGGCUUGUGAAUUGUGAUACAUAUAAGCAUAGAUAGAGGAAUACAUACAAUCAUGCCAUUAACUUAGCACAUUAAUUUUUUGGAGGUUAUGAAUGUAAAAGGCAUAAAAACUUAAAAAUAUUAAUACAAAUAAUGAAUUGGAAACUGAUUGACUUCAUUUUCUUAAAUGUCUUUUCCUAUUAAUUGAGCAAUCAAUCUAGACAAUGAAGUGGUUUGCAGCAAAUAUUUGAGGGUUAUAUAAGAGAAAAAUGCCAAAAGUUUGACAAAAAAGAUAAACAUCAAUGCUGGCAAAAGAAAGGUGNNNNNNNNNNNNNNNNNNNNNNNNNGUGCCUUGCCUCCACGACUAUUUCUUACCCUAAUAUGAAGUGAACUCAAAUUAGGGGAACUCUUAAUUAACUGUAGAGCGUAAGAUAUCUGACCCAUUUUGUCGAAGUCUACCCCUAAUGAUACAGACCAAUUGAGCAUAAAAGGAAGCCCAAUCUGGAACUAUGUUUGCACUCAAAAGCUUUGGAGAAAAUAAAAUAAUUAGAAUCAAUUGAAAUAUGAUCACUUUCAGAUAUUCAAGUGAAACAUGUCAAUUUCUUACCUCAAGGACAUCUAUUCGUUUUAUGGGGAGACCAAUAAGGGUGGCACAUCGCAAAAGAUUUGAUCUCUGUGGCAGAAUGAGCUAAAGCUGAUGGAAUUUGAAAGUUAUUCCUUUGAGGAAGUGAGUUUCCACGACUCUUUGUUUGUAUAAUAGAAUCCAGGUUGAUAUCUUGAAAACUUUUUUUUCUAAAAUUUUAAUAUGACUUCAUAUACGUUCCCUGUUUCUUUUGUUACCUAUGUUAUCCGGAUUAUGUUCUGUUUCCUAUCUCUUCUUUUUGUUUAGCUGUGAGGACAAAAUAUUUAAUCGGUAUAAGUUUCUAGACAAAUGUUCACGAUAAUUGAAUGCAAUCCGA
rnacentral:lncRNA from 1 species